rnacentral:rRNA from 1 species
CCUACGGGGCGCAGCAGUGAGGAAUAUUGGUCAAUGGACGCAAGUCUGAACCAGCCAUGCCGCGUGCAGGAAGACGGCUCUAUGAGUUGUAAACUGCUUUUGUACGAGGGUAAACGCAGAUACGCGUAUCUGUCUGAAAGUAUCGUACGAAUAAGGAUCGGCUAACUCCGUGCCAGCAGCCGCGGUAAUACGGAGGAUUCAAGCGUUAUCCGGAUUUAUUGGGUUUAAAGGGUGCGUAGGCGGUCGGAUAAGUUAGAGGUGAAAUCCCGAGGCUCAACUUCGGAAUUGCCUCUGAUACUGUUCGGCGAGAGAGUAGUUGCGGUAGGCGGAAUGUAUGGUGGAGCGGUGAAAUGCUUAGAGAUCAUACAGAACACCGAUUGCGAAGGCAGCUUACCAAGCUACUUCUGACGUUGAGGCACGAAAGCGUGGGGAGCAAACAGGAUUAGAUACCCCAGUAGUC